rfam:Oryza sativa Japonica Group DNA, chromosome 10, cultivar: Nipponbare, complete sequence.
AAUAAGUGCAGCCGUGGAUAUCUGUGCCCAACGUUUGACCGUCCGUCUUAUUUAAAAAAUUUGAAAAUAUUUAGUCACACAUAAAGUACUAUUCAUGUUUUAUCAUCUAAUAACAAUAAAAAUACUAAUCAUAAAAUUUUUUCAAACAAGACGAACAGUCAAAUAUUGAACAUGAAUAGUACAAAACUGCACUUAUU